AACGAACGCUGGCGGCGUGCUUAACACAUGCAAGUCGAACGCGAACGGGUUCUUCGGGACCUUAGUAGAGUGGCGCACGGGUGAGUAACGCGUAAGUUAUCUACCUCGGCAUCUGGAAUAACUCACCGAAAGGUGUGCUAAUACCGGAUACGUUGAGUAAUCAAGAAAGGUGGCCUCUGAAUAUGCUACCGUGCUGAGAUGAGCUUGCGUACCAUUAGCUAGUUGGUGGGGUAAUGGCCUACCAAGGCGACGAUGGUUAGCGGGUCUGAGAGGAUGAUCCGCCACCAUGGAAAUGGAACACGGAACAGACUCCUAAGGGAGGCAGCAGUGAGGAAUAUUUGGCAAUGGGGGCAACCCUGACGCAGCGACGCCGCGUGGAUGAUGAAGGCCUUCGGGUCGUAAAAUCCUGUCAGGUGGAAAGAAAUGUAUAUGUGCUAAUACCAUGUAUACUUGGCGGUACCACCGAAGGAAGCACCGGCUAACUCCGUGCCAGCCGCCGCAGUAA
rnacentral:rRNA from 1 species